rnacentral:misc_RNA from 1 species
CGGUGCUACGAUCUAAAAAAUUAGAUGUUGUAAGGACUUUGUCACCAGAUGCAACUCCAGCACAGGCUUUUUGUGAAGCAGACAGAACCUAUAAUUUUAUUCUCAUUCAAUUGUAAGUGAAACUUCUUCUUCCCAUACAGAAUCUGGAGAAUCAUGGUAAUGUACGCUCAAGUCUUCAUGAUAAGGCAGAUAAUUAAAUUGGUAGCUCUGUCUUAAGGCUUCAAAUCUGCUUGUCGUCUUGUUGUACAAUGCACUCUGUUUAAAGAGCACACUAAAAGAGAAAAGGAACAAAUUAGAAAAUAAAGUACGCUUCAAUAGACAAUCUCACAACACAGUUUGGCUAUGUCAUCUUGUAAGAAAAAUGAGUGAUCAACAGUCGAAGUACUAUGACUCCAACAUGCAACCACAAGUUGCUUAAAGCCACAACUGACAGUAAACCAUUGAGAUCAAUUCUGUCCUCAACUUAGAAGC